GCUCCUCUUUACCGCAGGGGAAGCAAAAGGAUACAGACUGAAUCAACACAGGGAAAAGGUGUGUGGGGUGAAGUCCAGAGGAAACCAGACUUGAGCUUCCCGGAGCUUCUCCAGUUGGGGAGAUGCCAGACUGCAGACUUAAAUGUGGG